rnacentral:rRNA from 1 species
UACGUAGGGAGCAAGCGUUGUCCGGAAUUACUGGGCGUAAAGGGCGCGUAGGCGGCUGUGUUAGUCAGGCGUGAAAUUCCUGGGCUCAACCUGGGGACUGCGCUUGAUACGGCAUGGCUUGAGGAUGGAAGAGGCUCGCGGAAUUCCCAGUGUAGAGGUGAAAUUCGUAGAUAUUGGGAAGAACACCGGUGGCGAAGGCGGCGAGCUGGUCCAUUACUGACGCUGAGGCGCGACAGCGUGGGGAGCAAACAGG